GUCUUUAUAGUUUAAUUAUAAGAAUUUGGUUCUGAAGAUACCAUGGUAUUUAUUUUAAAGACA
rnacentral:tRNA from 1 species